ensembl:misc_RNA 7SK 7SK RNA
AAAUGUAAGGGUGACCUGGCUGUGACCCUGCCACACCAUUGAUUGCCAGGGACCAUUAGACUGAUGUGGUAGCCCCGUGUCUUCUUUCUCCCUCACCUCUGUGCGCGUCAGGCUGUAAGUUGCCAGCUCAGACAACUGGAAUGACUUUCCCUGAUAAAGGAUUCGGUAUCAGUAGGCCCAAGUGGUACAAGCACUCCUCAGUGAGGCCUCAAGAUGGGGUGCUUUCUGUG